rnacentral:rRNA from 1 species
UACGGAGGGUGCGAGCGUUAAUCGGAAUAACUGGGCGUAAAGGGCAUGUAGGCGGUAGGUUAAGUCAGAUGUGAAAUCCCCGAGCUUAACUUGGGAACGGCAUUUGAGACUGGCGUGCUAGAGUUUUGUAGAGGGGGGUAGAAUUCCAGGUGUAGCGGUGAAAUGCGUAGAGAUCUGGAGGAAUACCGGUGGCGAAGGCGGCCCCCUGGACAAGGACUGACGCUGAGGUGCGAAAGCGUGGGUAGCAAACAGG